rnacentral:rRNA from 1 species
UGGGGAAUAUUGCACAAUGGGGGAAACCCUGAUGCAGCGACGCCGCGUGAGCGAAGAAGGUUUUCGAAUCGUAAAGCCCUGUCCUAUGAGAAGAUAAUGACGGUAUCAUAGGAGGAAGCCCCGGCUAAAUACGUGCCAGCAGCCGCGGUAAUACGUAUGGGGCGAGCGUUGUCCGGAAUUAUUGGGCGUAAAGGGUACGUAGGCGGUCUAUUAAGUCAGGUGUGAAAGCGUGAGGCUUAACCUCAUUAAGCACUUGAAACUGGUAGACUUGAGUGAAGGAGAGGAAAGUGGAAUUCCUCGUGUAGCGGUGAAAUGCGUAGAUAUUAGGAGGAAUACCGGUGGCGAAGGCGACUUUCUGGACUUUUACUGACGCUCAGGUACGAAAGCGUGGGGAGCAAACAGG